GAUUUGCACGUCAGUAUCGCUACGAACCUCCAUCAGGGUUUCCCCUGACUUCAUUCUACUCAGGCAUAGUUCACCAUCUUUCGGGUCCUAACAGAUAUGCUCCAACUCAAACCUCUCUCAGAGAUCGUGGUCGGUCGUAGGUGCGAAGAAUGGCAAAGCCAAAAUCUCCCUACUCUCACUUUCAUUGCGCAUACAGGAGUAAAACCCGCAUACUCGCACAUAUGUUAGACUCCUUGGUCCGUGUUUCAAGACGGGUCGGUUGGAACCGAUUAAGCCAGCAUCACAGAAACCGAGUACUCGAAAGUGGAGCUCGGAAACAGGAACACUCCUCAGCCACAAGGAAAAGGAAAGAACAAAGAUAUAACGGUCCACAAGGAACCUACCUUCUUUGAACGAAAUCAAUUCCGAGUAGCUGAUGCUGACCUCUCCAAAAAGAUGAACCGGAAAUACAUCAAGAAACCAAAGCCUAAACCUGGUGAGAGAGAGAAGGCAAAGGGAUAGAUGGCAAACCGGCGGCACUUCUUGGAAUCAAAAAGGUCCCAAUCGCUUCCUUUUCAGCAAUUUCAGGCACUUUUAACUCUCUUUCCAAAGAACUUUUCAUCUUUCCCUCACGGUACUUGUUUGCUAUCGGUCUCGCGCCAGUACUUAGCUUUAUGUGAAACCUACCACACAUUUUGCGCUCAAAUCCCGAUGAACGCGACUCUAUAAAAGCGUACCGUACGUGGAACAAAAAACGCAGGGGAAGGACGGGAUUCUCACCCUCUAUGAUGUUCUUUCCCAAGAAACUUAACCCUGCGCUUCCACUGGUAACGCCUCUCGAGGCUACAAGUCAACAGCUCGGAAAGAGCAGUUGAUUUCCACUUUGAGCUGAUCCCGGUUCACUCGCCGUUACUAAGGGAAUCAUAGUUAUUUUCUUCUCCUCCGCUUAUAAUAUGCUUAAGUUCAGCGGGUAACCUCGCCUGAUUUCAGGUCUG